AUGAUGAUUUAGAUAAUUUUGUUUAUGGUUAACACUGAAAAACAAUGUGGAUGCCAUUCUAGGGCGGUCUGAUUAU
rfam:Tribolium castaneum strain Georgia GA2 linkage group LG8, whole genome shotgun sequence.